UCCAUCGUGAGGUGGAGUCUGAAGGAAGCCUGAUGCAAAAUCUCGGUCUGACGAACAGAAACCACAUACAAGGCAUAUGUAGAGCGGACAAGUGUGCUGAACAACACAAAAAAUCCGAUACCACCCGAGCUCUACGGUGUAAAUGUGGCAGAUAUAUGAGAGGAAAGUUACCGUU
rfam:Natranaerobius trueperi strain DSM 18760 ZB100100, whole genome shotgun sequence.